rnacentral:rRNA from 1 species
UGACGAGCGGCGGACGGGUGAGUAAUGCCUGGGAAUAUGCCUUAKUGUGGGGGAUAACUAUUGGAAACGAUAGCUAAUACCGCAUAAUGUCUUCGGACCAAAGAGGGGGACCUUCGGGCCUCUCGCGCUAAGAUUAGCCCAGGUGAGAUUAGCUAGUUGGUGAGGUAAGAGCUCACCAAGGCGACGAUCUCUAGCUGGUCUGAGAGGAUGAUCAGCCACACUGGAACUGAGACACGGUCCAGACUCCUACGGGAGGCAGCAGUGGGGAAUAUUGCACAAUGGGCGAAAGCCUGAUGCAGCCAUGCCGCGUGUAUGAAGAAGGCCUUCGGGUUGUAAAGUACUUUCAGUAGGGAGGAAGGCGUUGUCGUUAAUAGCGGCUUCGUUUGACGUUACCUACAGAAGAAGCACCGGCUAACUCCGUGCCAGCAGCCGCGGUAAUACGGAGGGUGCGAGCGUUAAUCGGAAUUACUGGGCGUAAAGCGCAUGCAGGUGGUUCAUUAAGUCAGAUGUGAAAGCCCGGGGCUCAACCUCGGAACCGCAUUUGAAACUGGUAACUAGAGUGCUGUAGAGGGGGGAAGGU